AUACGUAGGGGGCAAGCGUUAUCCGGAAUUACUGGGUGUAAAGGGAGCGCAGACGGCUAAGCAAGUCUGAUGUGAAAGUCAUGGGCUCAACCCAUGGAUUGCAUUGGAAACUGCGAAGCUGGAGUGUCGGAGGGGUAAGCGGAAUUCCUGGUGUAGCGGUGAAAUGCGUAGAUAUCAGGAGGAACACCGGUGGCGAAGGCGGCUUACUGGACGAUCACUGACGUUGAGGCUCGAAAGCGUGGGGAGCAAACAGGAUUAGAUACCCUGGUAGUCCACGCGGUAAACGAUGAAUACCAGGUGUCGGGGGGCGAAGCUCUUCGGUGCCGAAAGCAAACGCAGUAAGUAUUCCACCUGGGGAGUACGUUCGCAAGAAUGAAACUUAAAGGAAUUGACGGGG
rnacentral:rRNA from 1 species